rnacentral:rRNA from 1 species
GAUGAACGCUGGCGGUGUGCCUUAGGCAUGCAAGUCGAACGGGAGUCCCACUUCGGUGGGACAAGAGUGGCAGACGGGUGAGUAACGCGUAGGAACUUACCUUCAAGUGGGGAAUAGCUAUCCGAAAGGAUAGGUAAUACCGCAUGUGAUCGCAAGAUUAAAGACUUCGGUCGCUUGAAGAGAGGCCUGCGAGCUAUCAGCUAGUUGGUGAGGUAAUAGCUCACCAAGGCAAUGACGGCUAGCCGAUGUGAGAGCAUGAUCGGCCACAAGGUCACUGAGACACGGGGCCUACACCUACGGGUGGCAGCAACCGGGAAUAUUGCGCAAUGGACGAAAGUCUGACGCAGCGACACCGCGUGUGGGAUGAAGCUUUUCGGAGUGUAAACCACUGUGGCAGGGGAAUAAAUUUUGAAGGUACCCUGCUAGAAAGCACCUGCUAACCACGUGCCAGAAGCCUCGGUAAUACGUGGGGUGCAAGCGUUAUCCGGAUUUACUGGGCGUAAAGCGUACCGUCGGCGGUUUGACAAGUUGCUCGUUUAAACCCGAGGCUCAACUUCGGAUCAGCGAGCAAAACUGUCAAACUUGAGUCUGUUCGGGGUAACUAGAAUUCUCUGUGGAGGGGUGAAAUCCGUAGAUAUAGAGAGGAAUGCCAAGCGCGAAAGCAGGUUACUAGGACAAGACUGACGCUCAUGGACGAAAGCUAGGGUAGCAAACGGGAUUAGAGACCCCGGUAGUCCUAGCCGUAAACACUCCUUGCUAGUUGUUUCCCACGCAUGUGGGGAGUGACGUAAGCUAACGCGUUAAGCAAGGCGCCUGGGGAGUACGACCGCAAGGUUAAAACUCAAAGGAAUUGACGGGGGAGCGCACAACCGGUGGAGCAUGUGGUUUAAUUCGAUACAAAGCGAAAAACCUUACCCAGACUUGACAUCUACCUAUGUUCUCUGGAAACAGAUGAUCUUAGUGGUAUGACAGGUGAUGCAUGGCUGUCGUCAGCUCGUGUCGUGAGACGUCCUCUUAAGUGAGGUAACGAGCGCAACCCUUGUCCUGUGUUAUAUUUGUCACAGGAGACUGCCCUACUUAUAGUGGGGAGGAAGGAGAGGAUGACGUCAAGUCAGCAUGUCCCUUACGUCUGGGGCUACACACAUCCUACAAUGGAAUGGACAACAGGUAGCAAAGCCGCAAGGCCAAGCCAAUCCCUAAACCAUUUCUCAGUUCGGAUUGAGGGCUGCAACCCGCCCUCAUGAAGUCGGAAUCGGUAGUAAUCGCAAAUCAGCAGGUUGCGGUGAAUACGUUCUCGCUCCU